AUUGAACGCUGGCGGCAUGCCUUACACAUGCAAGUCGAACGGCAGCACGGGUGCUUGCACCUGGUGGCGAGUGGCGAACGGGUGAGUAAUACAUCGGAACAUGUCCUGUAGUGGGGGAUAGCCCGGCGAAAGCCGGAUUAAUACCGCAUACGAUCUACGGAUGAAAGCGGGGGACCUUCGGGCCUCGCGCUAUAGGGUUGGCCGAUGGCUGAUUAGCUAGUUGGUGGGGUAAAGGCCUACCAAGGCGACGAUCAGUAGCUGGUCUGAGAGGACGACCAGCCACACUGGGACUGAGACACGGCCCAGACUCCUACGGGAGGCAGCAGUGGGGAAUUUUGGACAAUGGGCGAAAGCAUGAUCCAGCAAUGCCGCGUGUGUGAAGAAGGCCUUCGGGUUGUAAAGCACUUUUGUCCGGAAAGAAAUCCUUGGCCCUAAUACGGUCGGGGGAUGACGGUACCGGAAGAAUAAGCACCGGCUAACUACGUG
rnacentral:rRNA from 1 species